rnacentral:rRNA from 1 species
UGAAAGGGAAGCGAAUGGAGUUAGCAAUUCGCUCUGUCAGACUCAGCUGCUCGUGCAUCGCGACGUGUGCGUUCUCGAUCCCUAUAGACGAGACGUAGACGGGCGCGACGUGCGGACGGCGCACUUCUGGCGGGCGAGCGUCAGCGUCGGUUGUCGAUGGGUGACAAGGUCGCAAGGAAGGUGGACCGGUCUCACGGCCGGUUGUUAUAGCCUUGCGUUCGUAUAGCCCGACGGCGACCGUGGCUCUUCGAGGCGACGCGUGCCUGGCUGGCGACUCGUACGAUCGGUCCGGCAUGUCGACCGUGGCGGACGGCACGCCUGUGCGCUCAAACUGCUGCCGGUCGAUUGGACGAUGUUCGCACACUACGCGUCGAAGAUGCUGACGACCAUACGGCUCCAUCCGACCCGUCUUGAAACACGGACCAAGGAGUCUAACAUGUGCGCGAGUCUCCGGGUGAGCGAAACCCGUGGGCACAAUGAAAGUAAAGAUCGUCCCAGACGAUUGAGGUGAGAAGCUGGUACCACGCGUGCUGGCCGCAUCAUCGACCGACCUAUUCUGCUCUCAGAAAGGUUUGAGUAAGAGCGUAUCUGUUG